rnacentral:lncRNA from 1 species
AACUCUCACGGGUACUUUCUCCAUUAAUUCUUGUUAUAAGGCUCUCCCUCUUGAUCCAAAAGCACCAAAGAGCCAUACCUGGAUCUGGAAACUCACUUACCACCUAGGCUUAAGACAUUUUUGUGGCUGUUUAGUCAUAACAAACUUCUAACCACUGUGUUCUUAUAUCACAUUGGCAUGGUCACAUGUCCUACGUGUCCCAUUUGCCUCUUCUCUACGAAAUUUAUAUCCCAUAUCUUCA